CUACAGGCUUAACACAUGCAAGUCGAGGGGUAACGAGAGGAAAGCUUGCUUUCCUUGUCGACGACCGGCGCACGGGUGAGUAACGCGUAUCCAACCUGCCCCCAACUAGGGAAUAACCUUGCGAAAGUAAGACUAAUACCCUAUAAUUUCCUCAGAUGUCAUCUGACGAGGAAUAAAGAUUUAUCGGUUGUGGAUGGGGAUGCGUCUGAUUAGCUUGUUGGCGGGGUAACGGCCCACCAAGGCAACGAUCAGUAGGGGUUCUGAGAGGAAGGUCCCCCACAUUGGAACUGAGACACGGUCCAAACUCCUACGGGAGGCAGCAGUGAGGAAUAUUGGUCAAUGGGCGAAAGCCUGAACCAGCCAAGUAGCGUGAAGGAUGACGG
rnacentral:rRNA from 1 species